AGGGGUAUAGCUCAGUGGCACAGCACCUGCCUGGUAAAUGUGAGGUCCCAAGUUCAAUUCCUUGUACCCCCC
rnacentral:tRNA from 1 species